AGUGAACGCUGGCGGUAGGCCUAACACAUGCAAGUCGAACGGCAGCACAGUAAGAGCUUGCUCUUACGGGUGGCGAGUGGCGGACGGGUGAGGAAUACAUCGGAAUCUACUUUUUCGUGGGUGAUAACGUAGGGAAACUUACGCUAAUACCGCAUACGACCUACGGGUGAAAGCAGUGGAUCUUCGGACCUUGCGCGAUUGAAUGAGCCGAUGUCGGAUUAGCUAGUUGGCGGGGUAAAGGCCCACCAAGGCGACGAUCCGUAGCUGGUCUGAGAGGAUGAUCAGCCACACUGGAACUGAGACACGGUCCAGACUCCUACGGGAGGCAGCAGUGGGGAAUAUUGGACAAUGGGCGAAAGCCUGAUCCAGCAAUACCGCGCGAGUGAAGAAGGCCUUCGGGUUGUAAAACCCUUUUGUUGGGAAAGAAAAGAAGCAGGUUAAUACCCCGCUGUUCUGACGGUACCCAAAGAAUAAGCACCGGCUAACUUCGUG
rnacentral:rRNA from 1 species